AUUGAACGCUGGCGGCAGGCCUAACACAUGCAAGUCGAGCGGACGAAGGGAGCUUGCUCCUGGCUUCAGCGGCGGACGGGUGAGUAAUGACCAGGAAUCUGCCUGGUCGUGGGGGAUAACGUCCGGAAACGGGCGCUAAUACCGCAUCCGUCCUGAGGGUGAAAGUGGGGGAUCUUCGGACCUCACGCUAUCAGAUGAGCCUAGGCCGGAUUAGCUAGUUGGUGGGGUAAAGGCCUACCAAGGCGACGAUCCGUAACUGGUCUGAGAGGAUGAUCAGUCACACUGGAACUGAGACACGGUCCAGACUCCUACGGGAGGCAGCAGUAGGGAAUAUUGGGCAAUGGGCGAAAGCCUGAUCCAGCCAUGCCGCGUGUGUGAAGAAGGUCUUCGGAUUGUAAAGCACUUUAAGUUGGGAGGAAGAGCAGUAAGUUAAUACCUUGCUGUUUUGACGUUACCAACAGAAAAAGCACCGGCUAACUUCGUG
rnacentral:rRNA from 1 species